rnacentral:tRNA from 1 species
AGCUUAGUAAUUUAAACAAAAUAUUUACCUUGAAAGUAAAAAAUAGAUAUUCUUCUGUAUGCUU